ACUCCACGGGAGGCAGCAGUGGGGAAUUUUGGACGAGGGCGAAAGCCUGAUCCAGCCAUGCCGCGUGCAGGAUGAAGGCCUUCGGGUUGUAAACUGCUUUUGUACGGAACGAAAAGACUCUGGUUAAUACCUGGGGUCCAUGACGGUACCGUAAGAAUAAGCACCGGCUAACUACGUGCCAGCAGCCGCGGUAAUACGUAGGGUGCAAGCGUUAAUCGGAAUUACUGGGCGUAAAGCGUGCGCAGGCGGUUAUAUAAGACAGAUGUGAAAUCCCCGGGCUCAACCUGGGAACUGCAUUUGUGACUGUAUAGCUAGAGUACGGCAGAGGGGGAUGGAAUUCCGCGUGUAGCAGUGAAAUGCGUAGAUAUGCGGAGGAACACCGAUGGCGAAGGCAAUCCCCUGGGCCUGUACUGACGCUCAUGCACGAAAGCGUGGGGAGCAAACAGGAUUAGAUACCCUGGUAGUCCACGCCCUAAACGAUGUCAACUGGUUGUUGGGUCUUCACUGACUCAGUAACGAAGCUAACGCGUGAAGUUGACCGCCUGGGGAGUACGGCCGCAAGGUUGAAACUCAAAUGAAUUGACGGA
rnacentral:rRNA from 1 species